rnacentral:tRNA from 1 species
GGAACGGAUAGCGUGCUGCUGCGCGAUCCGGGCCCUCAAACUCAAAUCAGCCAGCUACGCAUGUAGAACCGUCCGGCGAUGGCUUGCGGACGGGGGUUCGAUUCCCCCCGGUUCCACCA